GGCAGCAGUGGGGAAUAUUGCACAAUGGGCGCAAGCCUGAUGCAGCCAUGCCGCGUGUAUGAAGAAGGCCUUCGGGUUGUAAAGUACUUUCAGCAGUGAGGAAGGUGGGUAUGUUAAUAGCAUAUUCAUUUGACGUUAGCUGCAGAAGAAGCACCGGCUAACUCCGUGCCAGCAGCCGCGGUAAUACGGAGGGUGCGAGCGUUAAUCGGAAUUACUGGGCGUAAAGCGCAUGCAGGUGGUUUGUUAAGUCAGAUGUGAAAGCCCGGGGCUCAACCUCGGAAUUGCAUUUGAAACUGGCAAACUAGAGUACUGUAGAGGGGGUAGAAUUUCAGGUGUAGCGGUGAAAUGCGUAGAGAUCUGAAGGAAUACCGGUGGCGAAGGCGGCCCCCUGGACAGAUACUGACACUCAGAUGCGAAAGCGUGGGGAGCAAACAGGAUUAGAUACCCCGGUAG
rnacentral:rRNA from 1 species